rnacentral:rRNA from 1 species
UACGAAGGGGGCGAGCGUUGUUCGGAAUUAUUGGGCGUAAAGGGCGCGCAGGCGGUUUUGUAAGCCAGAUGUGAAAUCCCCGGGCUUAACCUGGGAAUGGCAUUUGGGACUGCAAGGCUGGAGUGUGGCAGAGGAGACUGGAAUUCCCGGUGUAGCAGUGAAAUGCGUAGACAUCGGGAGGAAUACCGAUGGCGAAGGCAGGUCUCUGGGCUGACACUGACGCUCAUGCACGAAAGCGUGGGGAGCAAACAGG